rnacentral:tRNA from 1 species
GUGGUGUAAUGGUAAGCACGGUAGACCGGAUAUCUGUAAGUGCGGGUACGAGUCCCGCC